rnacentral:rRNA from 1 species
UACAGAGGUGGCUAGCGUUGUCCGGAUUUACUGGGCGUAAAGAGCGCGCAGGCGGUCGUUCAAGUCGAGUGUGAAAGCCCCCGGCUCAACUGGGGAGGGUCACGCGAUACUGAUCGACUGGAAGGCAGGAGAGGGUAGUGGAAUUCCCGGUGUAGUGGUGAAAUGCGUAGAUAUCGGGAGGAACACCAGUGGCGAAGGCGACUACCUGGCCUGUUCUUGACGCUGAGGCGCGAAAGCUAGGGGAGCAAACGGG